rnacentral:rRNA from 1 species
UGUGUAGGUGGUUUCGUUAGUCUUCUGUCAAAACCUUGGGCUCAACCCAAGACUUGCAGUGGAAACGGCGAGACUCGAGGAUGCGAGAGGUGAAUGGAACUCAUGGAGUAGGGGUGAAAUCCGUUGAUAUCAUGGGGAACACCAAAUGCGAAGGCAAUUCACUGGCGCAUUCCUGACACUGAAACACGAAAGCGUGGGUAGCGAACG